rnacentral:rRNA from 1 species
GAUGAACGCUGGCGGCGUGCCUAAUACAUGCAAGUCGAGCGAACAGACGAGGAGCUUGCUCCUCUGACGUUAGCGGCGGACGGGUGAGUAACACGUGGAUAACCUACCUAUAAGACUGGGAUAACUUCGGGAAACCGGAGCUAAUACCGGAUAAUAUAUUGAACCGCAUGGUUCAAUAGUGAAAGACGGUUUUGCUGUCACUUAUAGAUGGAUCCGCGCCGCAUUAGCUAGUUGGUAAGGUAACGGCUUACCAAGGCAACGAUGCGUAGCCGACCUGAGAGGGUGUUCGGCAACACUGGAACUGAGACACGGUCCAGCCUCCUACGGGAGGAAGCAGUAGGGAAUCUUCCGCAAUGGGCGAAAGCCUGACGGAGCAACGCCGCGUGAGUGAUGAAGGUCUUCGGAUCGUAAAACUCUGUUAUUAGGGAAGAACAAAUGUGUAAGUAACUAUGCACGUCUUGACGGUACCUAAUCAGAAAGCCACGGCUAACUACGUG